CUUGGUACCGUAGUAAAAGUGCUUUCCCCUUAACAGGAGACCAUUAGUUAUAAAGGCUCGAUAAUCAACCGUGUUGGACAUUGUGUGUCUUUUUGGCAGGACAGUAUCAUUGCCCAAAGCAACUUUGGACAUACACACAGCAUACACAGAUCGCCAGCUCCAUGGCCCAGCCCUACGGCGACGACGAACCAACGCGAGGUCUGCUGCUUGGACAAGCAGUACAACAACGAGCAAAAGAAGUAGUGUUUUAUUCAUCUAAAAAACAACGCGUUGCUUAACAAAUAUUACAAAAAUCUUACACAAGUUACUUACAGUGGCUUGUAGAAGAGUCCGAAUAAUAUUCUGCUGGAAUUCAUUGCCUUUUAUAUAGCAAAAGAGGCCUCAUUACCCCGAAAAUGUAUUGAAAUUAAAAGAGUUGCGUAAA